rnacentral:rRNA from 1 species
AUUGAACGCUGGCGGCAUGCCUUACACAUGCAAGUCGAACGGCAGCAUAGGAGCUUGCUCCUGAUGGCGAGUGGCGAACGGGUGAGUAAUAUAUCGGAACGUGCCCUAGAGUGGGGGAUAACUAGUCGAAAGAUUAGCUAAUACCGCAUACGAUCUAAGGAUGAAAGUGGGGUAUCACAAGACCUCAUGCUCGGGGAGCGGCCGAAAUCUGAUUAGCUAGUUGGUGGGGUAAAAGCUCACCAAGGCGACGAUCAGUAGCUGGUCUGAGAGGACGACCAGCCACACUGGGCCUGGAGCACGGCCCAGACUCCGACGGGAGGCAGCAGUGGGGAAUUUUGGACAAUGGGGGCAACCCUGAUCCAGCAAUGCCGCGUGAGUGAAGAAGGCCUUCGGGUUGUAAGCUCUUUUGUCAGGGAAGAAACGGUGAGAGCUAAUAUCUCUUGCUAAUGACGGUACCUGAAGAAUAAGCACCGGCUAACUACGUGCCAGCCGCCGCCGUAA